CCUUUGCGUCGCGUCUGUGUGCUGCGCGAGACGACCAACGGGAGAGCCUACCACCAGCUGCUAAUUGGGGAAAAAAAUUUACUCCUGGUAAUACUCAGCACAGCAUGCGUGGAGCAUAUGUAUAUCCCAGGUAUCAGCUUUGAAAAUUGUUUUUCCUCAAAACAAAAACAAUUUUUUUUCAAAAUUGUAAUCAUGCAACACAGGAUCGUACAUUGGAGUAACUUUUUUCGUUACUUGCUUCUAACUUGAUCCACAGACCAGGUCGUCGUCAGGGUGCCAUCGGGUCCCUAUCCUCGGCUCGGGGCACCCAUUUCUUCGCUCUGCGAAUCAUCAUCAUUUUUUUACAAACUUUGGCAUAAUUUAUCUUCCUAGAUAUCUUUUUUGAAAGUGGUAUCCUCCUAGAUAUCUGGUGCGACAACUAUGAAAAGGAAGCAAACUACGACCAAAUUUGCACAAAAAGGGUUGAAACAUGAAUAUAAACGAUAAGUUUACCUCGAUGGUAUUACUUGAUACAACACGCACAUACCAACUCCCAAGCUCCUCGCUUCAGGAUUUCAAAAGCCCGCUAGCGAAUGCAAAAAAAAAAAAACCUGCCAGUUUGCAAAAAGAACGCUACGAGCAAACAUUUCUACACUUGUAUUGACCACCUCUCUUUUCCAUCAUUGGCACGAGAUUUCUUCAAUCAUUUCCAAAUAUAAGCAUGCGUGCGUUGAAGUUGCACAAAACAACCAAAGACUAGAAAGCCAACUCCAAACCUUUGUGAUCAAAUCGUCACAACCAAAUUUUGAACGUCACUGCAUAUUAGCGUGCAAAUUUACUCUCUUUUUUUCUAACUAAAUGUUUACACCCGUAACAUAGAUACAAGCAAAUCUGUUGCUCUCACGGUUUGCUCCAGUGUCCAAAAUUUGAAAAUCGACCAGCUGUUUAUGUUAGGGCCAUUAUUGAUUUCACAUUCAUUGUAUAGGCUGGCUAAUGCUGUUGCACAUGAAAAAAAAGGCUACACACAAACAUCUCUCAUGGUUUGCUCCCGGGUUCGAAAUUUGAAAUCCACCGGCUGUUUAUGUUACUUUGGGCCGAGGGCCAUCGCUGAUUUCACAUUCAUUGUACAGGCUGUCUACUGUCGUUGCUCGCGAAAAAAAGCCUACAUGCAAACAUCUCUCGUGGUUUGCUCUCGGGUUCAAAAUUUGAAAAUCAACAAGCGGUUUACGUUACUUCGGCCUGAGGGAAAUUAUUGAUUUCACAUUCAUUGUACAGGCUGUCUACUGCCGUUGCUCGCGAAAAAAAACCGGUACACGCAAACAUCUCUCGUGGUUUGCUCUCGGGUUCAAAAUUUGAAAAUCAACAAACGUUACUUCGGCCCGAGGGAAAUUAUUGAUUUCACAUUCAUUGUACAGGCUGUCUACUGCCGUUGCUCGCGAAAAAAAAACGCUACACGCAAACAUCUCUCGUGGUUU
rnacentral:lncRNA from 1 species